rnacentral:pre_miRNA from 1 species
UAGCUAUAAAAUAACUUAUUUUGUAGCCAUAUUAAGUUACGAUAAUUACUAUAUUAAUUUAUGAGAUUAUAGUAACUCUAUACUAAGUGGUUUAUUAUAAUACUAUGGUAAAUAUUUCCAUAUAUUAUAGUAACCCAACUAUUGUAAAUAUAUAUUGAUAUUAUCGUAAAUUAGUAUAUGAAAUUACCAUAAAUGGAGGUGGCUACAAAUAACUUAUUUUAUAACUG